UUAAUAGCUUAAAGAGAAAACCUUGGUACUUACAGACGAUGAAGGACGUUUUUUUAUCGACGAAACGCUUUGUAUAGCUGAUUUAAAAAGCAUUUAAAAACAAAGAUUUCCGAAUAGGGUAUAACCUUUUAAUUUUUUAAUUAAAUAUUUAAAAUUAAAAAAAGUUAACUUGGGGAACUGAAUCAUCUUAGUACCCAAAGGAAAAGAAGUAACAACGAUUUCCUUAGUAGUGGCGAGCGAAACGGAAAAAAAAAAAUAAUUUAUAUUUUUAGUAAAUAGAUAGUUUUAUAUUAUCUAUAAAAAGUAAAAUGGAAAAUGUUUUAAUUCCGUUUGAAUUAAUAUAAAAACGAGGCUCACCUCGUAAUACUAAAUACUCGUAAGUAACCGAUAGUGAACUAGUACUGUGAAGGAAAGGUGAAAAGAACCCCGAAGUGAGGGGAGUGAAAAGAACGUGAAACUUUAAGCUCACAGAAACAAUAGAAGGGUUUUAAGAACCUAACUAUAUACCUAUUGAAGAAGGGACCGACGAGUCAUAGUUUAUAAGCAAAAUAAGGUUAAGUAUAAUAAAAAAAUACGGAGCCAGAGUGAAAGCGAGCUUAAAAUAAAGCAUAUAUUAUAUAAGUUUAUUUCUAUGAACCCGAAGCCGGAUGAUCUAAGUAUGUCCAAAGUGAAGCAAAGGUUAAACUUUGUGGAGGCUUGUACUGGUUAAUGCUGCAAAAUUAUCAGAUGAGAUGUAUUUAGGGGUGAAAUGCCAAUCGAAUCCGGAGCUAGCUGGUUCUCCCCGAAAUGUAUUUAAGUACAGCUGCUAAUUAAAUUAAAAAAAAUAAUAGUUAGGGGUAAAGCACUGUUUUUUGAUUAAUACAAUAAAAUUAUUUAUUAGUGUUUAAUUAAUUCAACCUAUGAAUACUACUAUUAUUUAGCAAGUGAGACUUUAGGGGCUAAUCUCUAAAGUCAAAAGGGAAACAGCCCAGACCAUAAGUUAAGGUCCCAAAAGAUUAUUAAGUUAUAAAGUGAGUAAAAUUAUUAAAACAGCCAGAAGGUUGGCUUUGAAGCAGCCAUCCUUUAAAGAGUGCGUAAAAGCUCACUGGUUUAGUGAUUUUAUACCGAAAAUUUUAGGGAAUAAAUAAUCUACCGAAGCUAUGGGAUAUAAUUUUAAUAAAAUUAUAUCGGUAGGGGAGCGUUCUAUUUUAGGAUAAAGUUUUAAUGGAAAUUAAAAUGAACGAAGUAGAAGUGAGAAUGUCGGUUUAAGUAGCAAUAAUAUCAGUAAAAAUCUGAUACUCCGAAAACCCAAGGUUUCCUAUGCAAUUGAUUUUCAACAUAGGGUUAGUCGGGGCCUAAAAUGAGAUGGAAUGUGUAAUUGAUGGGUAAUUAGAUUAAUAUUUCUAUACCAUAAUUAUUUUGCAAUAAGUAACAAAUUUAAAAUUAAUAUAAAAAAAAUUGGUACUUUGUUAUAUUAAAAUUAAAUUUCAAGAAAAACUUUAUUUGCGUUAAAAUAAUUAUGCCCGUACCACAAACCGAAACAGGUGGGUAAGUAAAAAAUACUAAGGAGUUCGAGAUAACUCUCUCUAAGGAACUAGGCAAAUUGAUCCUGUAACUUCGGGAUAAGGGAUGCCCUAUUAUAAAAUUAGGGUACAAAAAAGACCCGAGCGACUGUUUAUCAAAAACACAGGUCUCUGCUAAAUUGAAAAAUGAUGUAAAGAGGCUGACGCCUGCCCAGUGCCGGAAGGUUAAAAUAAAUAAUAAUAGUUAUUAUUUAUUAAGCCCCGGUAAACGGCGGCUGUAACUAUAACGGUCCUAAGGUAGCGAAUUUCCUUGUCGGGUAAGUUCCGACCCGCACGAAAGGCGUAACGACUUGGGUACUGUCUUUGAGAGAGACUCGGCGAAAUAGAAAUGUCCGUGAAGAUGCGGACUUCCUACACCAGGACAGAAAGACCCUAUGAAGCUUUACUACAACUUGAUAUUGAAUUUGCUAUUUAAUUGCGCAGAAUAAGUGGGAGAUAUUGAUUUUAUUUUUUAGGAAAUAAAGGAGUCUUUAGUGAGAUACCACUCUUUUAAUAAGAAAAUUCUAACAAAAAUUCUGUUAACCAGUUUUUGGACAGUUUCAGGCGGGUAGUUUGACUGGGGCGGUCGCCUCCUAAAAAGUAACGGAGGUGUACAAAGGUUUUUUUAUAAUAUAAAAGUAAAAAAAGCUUAACUGCGAGACUUACAAGUCAAGCAGAGACGAAAGUCGGUUUUAAUGAUCCGACAAUAUUAAGUGAAAAUAUUGUCGCUUAACGGAUAAAAGUUACUCUAGGGAUAACAGGCUGAUCUUCCCCGAUAGUUCAUAUUGACGGGAAGGUUUGGCACCUCGAUGUCGGCUUGUCGCAUCCUGGGGCGGUAGUACGUCCCAAGGGUUGGUCUGUUCGCCCAUUAAAGCGGCACGUGAGCUGGGUUCAAAACGUCGCAAGACAGUUUGGUCCGUAUCCGGUGUAGGCGUUAGAACAUUGAAAGAAUUUCUUUUAGUACGAGAGGAUCAAAGAAACUAUACCUAUGAUGUACCAGUUAUUCUGCCAAGAGUAUUUGCUGGGAAGUUAAGUAUAGAUAAAAUAUAUAUUAACUGCUGAAAGCAUAUAAGCAGGAAAAAUAUCUUAAGAUAAAUGUUCUGUUCUUUUUUUAAAAAAUUAAAUUAAGAGUAAGAAACCAAUAAGAAUAAUUGUUAGUUAGCUUUUAUAAAGUAUAAGUAUAGUAAUAUAUUAAGCUUAUAAGACUAAUAUUUCGAGUAAUUGAACU
rnacentral:rRNA from 1 species